AUCAUGAACCAGGAGCUGUGCUGAGGUUUCUGAGGAGUCACUGCCAGGACCUGCAGAGGGAGUGGGCCCGAUUCCUUCACUGGGUGGAGUAUGCCUAGAAUUCAUUGCGUCACUCCUCCACUGGGCUGACUCCCUUCCAGUGUGUUCUUGGUUAUCAGCCAGCCUUAGCUCCGUGGACCCUGAACCAGACCGAAGCUCCUGCGGUGGAAAAGUGGUUCAGGCGCGCAGAAGAAGUUUGGAACAAUGCCCACGGGAGGCUCCAGCGCACCAUCUGCCACCUGAAGGAGCAGGCGGAUUCGCCACUGCAAUAAGGCUCCCAUGUUCCAUCCUGGUGAUCGUGGCUGUCUCUCCACCAGGAACCUCCCACUUCGCCUGCCAUGUAAGAAGCUGAGCCCCCAGGCCGGUGGUUCCUGGUCUCCUGGUUGAAGCUAUCCCACAUCACACCUAUCCGUCUCCCCUCGAGGGAAGCCCCGCCUACGCCGUCAGAUCCCUCCUGCACUCCCGAAAUCAUGGGGGUUGGCGUCCCCCUGGCCGGCGUCGUCCUGCAGCUGAAGCUGCGCGUUGGGGUCCUGGCAACCCAUCAUUACACACACCUGGCAGCCCUCAUUACGCACACCUGCACCCCAUCAUUAGGCACACUUGGACUACCCUGAUGACUCCCCCUUUAUCUAGCACUCCCUAGCACUACUCUUCAGGCAGAUGAUUCUGUGUUCUGUGUUCAUGGCCAGAAGCUUCUCUUGAUUUGUUUCGCUCCAUGUUCUUUAUUAUUAAACUCACCAACUGCACCUGC